GACGAACGCUGGCGGCGUGCCUAAUACAUGCCAGUAGAACGCUGAAGGAGGAGCUUGCUCUUCUGGAUGAGUUGCGAACGGGUGAGUAACGCGUAGGUAACCUGCCUGGUAGCGGGGGAUAACUAUUGGAAACGAUAGCUAAUACCGCAUAACAGUAGAUGUUGCAUGACAUUUGCUUAAAAGGUGCAAUUGCAUCACUACCAGAUGGACCUGCGUUGUAUUAGCUAGUUGGUGGGGUAACGGCUCACCAAGGCGACGAUACAUAGCCGACCUGAGAGGGUGAUCGGCCACACUGGGACUGAGACACGGCCCAGACUCCUACGGGAGGCAGCAGUAGGGAAUCUUCGGCAAUGGACGGAAGUCUGACCGAGCAACGCCGCGUGAGUGAAGAAGGUUUUCGGAUCGUAAAGCUCUGUUGUAAGAGAAGAACGAGUGUGAGAGUGGAAAGUUCACACUGUGACGGUAUCUUACCAGAAAGGGACGGCUAACUACGUG
rnacentral:rRNA from 1 species